GAAAAAUUGUUUGAUUCGGUAAAUUCUGAGCGGCUCCCGAUGAGCGGCACCUUGACCAGCCCGUGGUGGUGCACUGUAUCGAUUGAAGUGGUCUUUGAGAUUCCGUAAACGUACGAAAUCCGUGCUCUUGGGGUUUCGGCGCACAUUCUCUGUGAUAUCGUAGUGCUGGAGAAGGAAACCCGCGAAUCGGGCGUACGCGUUAUCGCUCCGGUGGAUGCGCUCCAGCAGUUCGAGUCGUUCGCUCCGGGUCUGGGGCGGCUCGACGUCUCCCAGACCCUCAAGGGUGAUCGGUGCUGUGCGGUCGCUCGAGGCCGACGAAGAGCGCACGUCGAGACUUUCGCCACUGGCGCCUUGCUCGAGCCAGCGGCUUCCAGCGGGGGCACGCGUUGCGUCAUGGUGCAAGGCGCUGGAUCCGGGAGCAGGAGCCUCAUUCGGGGCGGAUCCAUCGCGCGUUCGCUGCUGGGCCGGUGCUUGCGGUGCGGCUGCAGCACCGGACGCUCUUCGCUUGGUUUUCGCUGCAGAUGAUACGCUGCCCGCUGUAUCAUGUUCUAAGCGCUGCGUAACUCGCGCGGCAGCCACCGCGGGGAACCUCUCUGGCAUCGUCAAGUCAGGGUUGGUGCAAACGCCUUCGUCAGCUAGUGCACGUUUCCGUCCAGCUCUGUCCUCUAGAUACCGCGCAGCUUCGCCAUUAUCGUACCGAGUCGAGGUCGAUGCCGGCAUCGCGCCGGGUCGCCGGUGCACGCUCGCAUCCUCAGCUGCCGACAACGACGGACGCUCAUUGAUAAGCGCCCACGAGGCAGGUGCGGAAACGCUGGUUUCGGGUCCCAGCGAAUGACCCGGUGCUGGGCGAGGCAUGGCGCCCGGUUCUCCGGACUCGAACGCAAAAACAGACCCGGGCAGGUUGGCGUUCAGCAUCGAUCGAGUACCCAUCGGCUGCGACUGUGACCCCGGUAACGUGGCGGUGCCUCGUGAACUGCCUCGACCGUGGCCCGCCCCACCAGUAUGGUGCAGCAACAGCGGCGAUGCGCUCGUGGUACCUGGAUCAACCGCCGCGUUGGGCGUGCGCAUCAUCUGGCCGGGUGACAGGGCUGCCGCCGCUCCACCAGCCGUCACAAGCGAUCGGCUUCCCGACGUCGACACAUGCACCGCGGACGACGGAUGACUGGCGUUUGGCGCUACAAUGCCGCUCAGGCUACUGAGAUGCUCCGUCGGAGGCGCGCGCAUAAAGUCAGGAUUUGUUCCCGGGACUCGUCCAGUGGGCUCCAUGAUCGAGCCGCGUGCAAGUGGCGUGGUUGCACCAGCAGACAAGAGUGCAUGAAACGAAUCGACGCGGUGCAGUUUCUCGGUGUAGGAAUCUUCAUCCACGCUACUUGGAGCUCCCACGACGACCUCGGGUAUGCUGCGGUCGGAGCCGCCGCCGCCGCCGCCGCCGCCACCACCAACGCCGCUGCUGCCCAUGCCCAUGCCGCUCGAAACAAGCGCCAUUUGUUGGUUCCCAAAUGUGCCCGCACUCACACCGUACAUCAAAGAGGAGCCUCCGUUUCCGCCACCUGGUCCCUGAGCGUAACCGUUACUGCCGCCAAGACCCGGGGAAGGCCCCGCCAGCUGCGCGCCAUUCGCCCCGCUCGCACUGCCGCCCAGAUCAAAAACGUUGUGCAGCGGAUCGUCUUGGCUCAUGGACCAGACCCGUGGGAGCAGUCCAACAUGAUCGCCUCCGAUCGAAUCACCAGCUAUUUCCUGAUCAUCGAUGCUGGCGUCGCUAUCUCGCAUGGGACGCUCAGGCUGCCUUCCGCUAGGUAGUUCGUGACCAAGAUCGCUCAGCCCGAAGAGGUCUUCCUGUUUAGAAUCCAACACGUUGUAGACCUCAUCAAUGGGCCAAUCGCUCAUGAGUUCCUGAGUCCCCUUCAGCGAUAGCGUAUUCGGGACCCGCACACCGUAGCCGCGCUUGUUCAGCACAACUUGGCGAAGGUAUCGAAGCGCGUCCCGGGCUCGGCGACGUGCUACCCGAUUCUCGACAACCGGUCGCGGAUAGGUGACACCCAGUUCAACCCUAGCCUGAUGCAGAAUCGUCGGAGGGCAUUUCCACACCGCAUGGAUGUAGCUACUGGGGAUCUGUUGCAACUCUGGACACCAGGUACGCACGUACUCACCCUCGGGGUCUACGCGCAUGCCCAUCACGACUGGGUUCACGAGGCAAUUCAAGGGGAAAACGUCGUAGUUGCAGCCCGUCACCCACUGCCAGCAGAUCGCGUUGCUCGCCAGAUCGCCAUCGAUGAAUAGUUUGAAGAGGCAACGAGCCCCGAUCUGCCACGGCAGGAGAAGGUACUUGGUAAAAAAAGAAGC
rnacentral:misc_RNA from 1 species